rnacentral:rRNA from 1 species
GAUGAACGCUGGCGGCAUGCCUAAUACAUGCAAGUCGAGCGAACAGACGAGGAGCUUGCUCCUUUGACGUUAGCGCCGGACGGGUGAGUAACACGUGGGUAACCUACCUAUAAGACUGGGACAACUUCGGGAAACCGGAGCUAAUACCGGAUAAUAUUUCGACCCGCAUGGUUCGAUAGUUAAAUAUGCCUUUUCUAUCACUUAUAGAUGGACCUGCGCCGUAUUAGCUAGUUGGUAAGGUAACGGCUUACCAAGGCAAGGAGACGUAGCCGACCUGAGGGCGAGGUGGCAUAGAUGGGAAGAGAGGCAGGGUAGAGACACUGACAGGAGGCCGCAGUCGGGAAUCUUACGGGAUGGGGGAAAGGCGGACAGAGGAACGUCGGGGAAGGGAUGAAGGAGCAAGGACGGGAAAACGCUGAAAGCAUUGAAGAAGUAACGCGCUAUUACCCGUGAAGGUAUUGACGGUACCUAAUGAGAAAGCUACGGCUAACUCCGCG